AUAUUUGAUCAUAAUGUUGACGGGGUUUCCAAAAAGAAGCACCUAAAAAGAUAUUCGUCUUUUUUCUCGGCUUUGUUGGACGCUAUUCAAUUAGUCGAUACAACAAAGCCGACAGAAGAGUUUCUGCGCAGCGCAGUGCUUUGUGUUAAGCAUAAUUAUAACAAACAA